UCUGUUUAAUCUUUUCUAAAGAUCUUUACUAGUUUAGUUGGAACUUGAAUUUAUUUUUGGUGCAUUUUCAUGUGUACUUUAUCAGACAUAUUGAGGACCCAUUUUCUAAAAUAUUUUGAAAAUUUAUUAGUUCCUAGACAAUUAUUGGGAUCUCUUUAGAUGUAUGCGCAUCGAGAUGAAAUACAUUAAUGAUAUGUUUUAACUCGUUAGGUUAUUGAAGAAGACAUUUAGAAUGAAAGAACAUGAGCUAUUCGGAAUGAAAUUGAUCAUUUUUAAUAGAUUUAUCGUUAAUGGUGGAAAAUUAAAGAGUUAAAUGAGAUGUCAUUUGACUCUAUGCUGUUGUUACUUGUUACUUUCUUUUCUAUCCCUAGAUAAUGUGUUGUGAGGUGAGAGACAAAGCGGAGAAACUUCUGUUUUCUCCAGCUAAGCUUCUUCUAAGUUCUAUGUAGGAGAAAAGAAGGGAGAGCUCUUUCUUUCCGAUGAUAUUUUCUUCAUCCUUUUGCAAGUCCAAUGUAUAGCUUUACAUAUUGAUAUUGGUUUUAUUUGGUAUUGACAAUUAGGGAUUGCCCUUAUAUGAUUCUUAAUUUUGAUUGGUUGAAAUGCAUGAUAAGAAGUAGGUAUAACCUACCAAUAUUCUUUUGAUUCAUUAUGGACUCUAUGGUUAAUAUGGGGCUCUACUUUGGGUGUUUGGGAAUAUUCUAUGUUUUUGUGUCUGCUUUGGACCCAAUUUUAUAAAUUAGGUUCCACUGGCAAGAAAGACCACUAAGUGUCUUGCACAAAUGAUUUAGUUCCCAUAAGUGUAUUUACUUCAAUAAUGAUGUUAAACCAUUAAAUUUACAUGCGUGAUUAAGAAGGAUUUAUUCUACUUUAAAAAAUCAAAAUUGCUUUAUUCCACAUGUUCUUUUUCCCUUGAAGUUUACUCAAUGUGCUUGUUGGCUUUAAAGGCUCUCAAACUGCUCCUCUCACAUUCAUGUCCUGGUUUAGAAUCUUAUCUGUUUGCCUGCUAAUUUAACCAGGAGCACAAUUGGUGUGUUAGUAGACUAUGGAACAAGAAAUAACAAAAAUGAAGCUGACAAUGCUGCAGAAGACUUGGCAAAAUCACAAUCAUCUGAAAAGAAAGGCCCAAUGUUAUUUAAGGCUAAAUCUGAUGUUGCAAAGUCAAUGGCCAAGAAUUUUUUGAAAACAAGGAAAGCCACUGGUACUUUUGAGGGCCGGAGGAGAAAGCCAAAGAAGAAAAACAAGAGUGUAUUAGAAGGCAGUAAAGUUACUGAAGAUAAUUCUAAGAAGCUAAAUUCAAGGAAAGAAAACCAACAAGAAUAUAGAAAAGCGCAACAAGGGAGAGAAACAAGAAAAUAAGAAGAAAGAAAAGAUUGAUGGUCCGAUAUUAAUAUGCAAUUCAAAGACCAAGCUCGAUUAUUUCCGAUAUUGUCUAAUGGGUGUACCAACAGGAUUUAUAAGGCAUCCUCUUCUGGUGGCAUGAAACUUGAGCCCAAAGCUUUUGGUGGGGCUUUCCCCGCUUAGACUUCCAUUUCAGGUGCGGUUCAGUAUCCAUGCUGAUUGUUUUCCUCUGGCAGAGAGCAUUUUCAUGAAGGCAAUCAAGGAAACUUAUAAUGAAAAGCACAAAUUCAAAACUGAACUUACUGCUAGACAAUUCGGAAGCUCACUGAACUUUUUCAACCGGUGGGAGUUCAUUCAAUUGCACUGCCUGUCCACUCCCUGUCAAAUGCAGUGGCUGGAAUCAUUGAACACUCUGACAACAAGG